rnacentral:rRNA from 1 species
UACGUAGGGUGCGAGCGUUAAUCGGAAUUACUGGGCGUAAAGCGUGCGCAGGCGGUUCGUUAUGUCCGUUGUGAAAGCCCCGGGCUCAACCUGGGGCGCCACUCGAUACUGUCGUGGCUAGAGUCCGGUAGGGGAGCGUGGAAUUCCUGGUGUAGCGGUGAAAUGCGCAGAUAUCGGGAAGAACACCCGUGGCGAAGGCGGUUCUCUGGGACGGUACUGACGCUGAGACGCGAAAGCAUGGGGAGCGAACAGG